CAUUACCUUUACAACAUGCUGCCAGCUACAACGUGAACCAGUGUGAAAUUUUUUCAACUUGCUACCAGCUACUAGUGAGCAGCGGGACUUAUGGUAUGGGUACAGUAGUUACCCGCUGUUAGCAAGUUCUGUUUUUAGCUCUGGUACCUACAUUAAAAAUCAUACAUUGAAAAAAAACUAAAGCUGGAUUUUCGCCCAGUGAGUUAAAAAUUCCUCGAUUAGGUCAACACUGUACUUGGUAUUAAGCCAUCAUGUUCAAAUACGAGUUUACAAAUUUCUCUUGAGCAAUUAUACCUACUUAUCUGAAAAGUACCUGCAUGUUGCACGUGGAACCCUACUUGAUCAUAUAGUUUAUUAUUUUCACCUAAAUGACCUGGUACGUAAUUUAAGAUUCAUCAAAACAUCACAGUGGCAAUUUUAGGUAGGUAUUUAACAACAAAUUGGUAAUUAUCUGUACCAUCGGUUGUAAACAAAAAAGGAUUGUUUAAGAUCCUACAAUAUUGAAAAAUGCAAACAAUGUAUUCAGUUAUAAGCUCACACAAACAUUCUAAUCAUUUUUUCGAUUUCCCUCUCCAAUUAAUUUUGAGUUUAUUCAUCGGAUAGUUGCAAACAUGAUCAAAAAUUUCUUAAUGCUGAGCAUAAUUCUUCUAGUUACAGAAAUUGUUUACUCAAAUGGAUCUUCAAGGAACACUGGGGUAAGAAAAAGAAACACAUAAGUAUACCUAUUUAGGUAUAUUAUUCAAUCAAGUAUCCUACAGAUUUCAUACCGGAUUGAGAUUCCUAUUUAACAUACAUACUUACAGAGAGUUCGCUUUCUUAUGAGGGUAGUUAACGUGAUCGGAUCGACUCUAUGGGAUUCGUCAGGUGAACGUAUGUUUUCAGAAGAAAAGUGGGAUACGAAAGAGUUUGCUCAAAUAUUCUCAGCUGAUAUAAACCUGCGGAAAACAUUUGUCGUGCGUUGGGUUUUGAUUCGUUUCGAAAGAUGUAUUGACUUAGAACUAGGAUGUGAAAAUUUUCAAACUUGGAAUCUCAGCGGUAGAAUAUUUUGUGAUGCGAUUAGGAUGAAAAAUCAAAUGUGGACUCCAAUGGUAUCUUCCAUAAAGCCUCAAACUUUCGUACAGACUUGUCCACGAUUAAAUCAAGACAUUUAUAAAGUAGAUAACAUCAAAAUUGACGUUGAUUCGAUUAUAAAAUUUUACAAGGAAGCGCCCAAGUAUUACAAUCCAAAAAAUGAAAUAGAAGCACAUGGUUAUAUGCAUGCCUUCUUUGUAAAGUAUAUUAGACGUCAAGAUUAUAAUUAAAAAGUGUAAGAAAAAUAUUUAUUUUUUCAAAAAAAUGCCUCGAAUUUUUUAAAAAUUUUCCCCCCAACGAACAUCUGUGGUUCUGGUUACCGAAAUAGAUCAGUAUCAUAGGUGUUGAUGAUUGGUCAUUAAAAAAAUGCAUUUUUCAUGAUGAACAUUAGACCUAUAAUUUAAAAAUUCAUCGAACCAUAUCAUGGUAAUAAUUGCAAACACUGUCGUUAAUCGCCUCAUCUAUAUCCUUGGUCGUAUUUAAAUGGAUAUUUGUACAAUGUACACGAUUGAAAAAUAAGUAGGCACCUAGAGGUACCUUCAUUAAGUACAUUACAAUGUACCAAAGUUUGUUAUCAUUUUUCGUUUUUUAAUUCUUCCUCGUGAACCAAUAUUGAUAGAGACCAAAAAAUGAUCAAAAAUUUGUUGUUGCUGAAUAUACUAAUCAUUUGCACAAAUGAAACGCCACAAAGCAUAUUUGGGGUAAGGAAAGCUUUCAAAAAUUAACUCACUGCUUACUCAAGUUACAGAUUUCAUAUCAUAAUACACAUUGUGAUUUUUCGUGACGUGUAGGAAGGUCGUUAUCUAGCAAGAGUUGUUAAUGUGACGAUACUCGACUCAUUAGGUAAAUCUAUGAUUUUCGAAGAGAAAUGGAAAACGAAGGAAUUCGCGCAAAUUUAUUCAGCUACUUUGAGAAUACCGAAAACAUUCGUGAUACGUCGGGUUAUGACUCAUUUUGAGAGAUGUCUCGAUUUAGAACUAACCUGUGAAAAUUUUCAAAUUUGGAACUUGAGCAGUGCACUAUUUUGUGACGCGACUAAAAUGAAAAAUCAAAUGUGGACUCCGUUGGUAUCCGCCAUAAAACCACCAACUUUUUUCGAAAAUUGUCCACGAUUAAAUCAAGGCAUGUACAGAAUGGAAAAUGUCAGAAUUGACGUCAAUUCGAUCGUCAGCUUUUACAGCGAAGCACCCAAAUUCUAUUGGAAAUUAUAUGCUUUUUAUUAUAAUUCAAGAAAUGAAAUUGAGUUUCAAGCUUUUUUGCAUGCUUUUUUUGUGAAGUACACUACUAGACGUCAUCAU